rnacentral:sRNA from 1 species
GACGUAUCGGUUAGAUUGGGAUACUCAUCAAUUAACGCUUGAAAACCGGGCUGUCUUCUCUUGUCAAUGGCGGGCCAUGCGCCGAAUAAGCGUAGCAUUUUCAUGCCGAUGGAUUACAAAGACGGAGAGCACCCACAACCUGUGAUAAAGGAGUUUUCAUCACAUCACCUGUGCGUCC